UACGUAGGGGGCUAGCGUUGUCCGGAAUCAUUGGGCGUAAAGAGCGUGUAGGCGGUCCGGUAAGUCGGCUGUGAAAGUCCAAGGCUCAACCUUGGGAUGCCGGUCGAUACUGCCGGACUAGAGUUCGGAAGAGGCGAGUGGAAUUCCUAGUGUAGAGGUGAAAUUCGUAGAUAUUAGGAAGAACACCAGUGGCGAAGGCGGCUCACUGGCCCGGUACUGACGCUGAGGUGCGAAAGCGUGGGGAGCAAACAGG
rnacentral:rRNA from 1 species